rnacentral:rRNA from 1 species
AUACGGGGGGGGCAAGCGUUGUUCGGAAUUACUGGGCGUAAAGGGCGCGUAGGCGGACGAGACAGUCUUUCGUGAAAUCCCACGGCUCAACCGUGGAACUGCGGGAGAUACUACUCGUCUUGAGAUCGGGAGAGGAGUGUGGAAUUCCCAGUGUAGCGGUGAAAUGCGUAGAUAUUGGGAGGAACACCGGUGGCGAAGGCGGCACUCUGGACCGAUACUGACGCUGAGGCGCGAAAGCUAGGGGAGCAAACGGGAUUAGAUACCCCGGUAGUCC